rnacentral:tRNA from 1 species
GCUGGGGCUUAGUGGUAGAGCGCUUGCCUAGCAUGUGUGAGGCACUGGGUUUGAUUCUCAGCCCCGCA